GGUGGGAAGGCAGGGCCAGGGGAGCUCAGGUGCACGCAAUGUACCCGAGUGGCAGGAAGGGGUGGAGGCAGGAUGCACCCCCUCCCAGGCCUCAUUUAAGGGCUGGCAGCGAAGGGGAGAGCAUCUCCCUCGAGAUCCCCGUGUACCUGAGGCCUUCUGAAGGCAAGCAGCUUCUUUUCCUUUGUUUCUGCACCUACGGCUGUUGCAUUUGGGCCUCAGUUGUCGGUUGAGUCCUCAACUGCUGCAGCCUGGAGCUUUGCUACUCUGCUGUCAUCGCUGUUGUGUUACAUUGUGUUACAGCAUUAUAGCAGUUACAGGCACUUCAGCAGGCUGGUGUCAUACGUACAAAGAACAAAGCAGGAAUGAUGUUGCAUGCAGGCACACUGUAGCGUUUUGCUGAAUGGCCGAUAGGUACAAACCGCGUGAUUUUGCUGUGUGCAACCAGAGUGACCAAAGCCCCACCUGCCUUCGUUUAGGCAUUAAUCAAAGCUCAGGGAUGUUGUUGUUGUUGUUGCGAGGACAACUUCUGUCCUCACCUUGAGCUCUGUAGGUGUUGGGUGGUGAGAUCCAGCUGCGUACGGCAGUGUGGAAACGCCGCCUGCUCCAAAGGGCUGAGCGCAGCAGGAAAGCAAGGCGGUGCCUGCAGGGAUGUGACAGCAGCUUCAGUUGGCUUGAUUUCUUACAAAGAGUCGUGCUUGCUGUAUGGGAACUGCUGCGUCACGGCCUGAAGCUCUGAUGGAUCACCUGAGUGGAGCCUGAGUCAGCCAGAGGAGCACAGCUGAAGGCAAUUCACCUGUGCUGCCGGAUGGGGUGGAGCCAGGCUCCCCCCCUCCUAGGCCUAUUUAAGAGCUGGCUACCAGAGGGGAAGGAGCUCUUCUGCAGAUUGCCUCUGCUGGUGUUUUGGGAGUGAGCCCAGGAUAGGGCACGCCGCUGGCCUCGCACGAGAUCUGCGUGUCGCAUCCCAGAAGAUACGACUUGUGUUCCCCAUCAGCAUCCCCUGCUUUCUACGUGAAAACUGAGCGCGCGUCACAGCUGGCAGACGAGGCAAAAGAAGAUGACUGAAGGUACCCGAAACAAAGCAGCUCCAAGGAAGCUAAGGCGAGGAAGACCAGAUUUGUAAGAGGUGGAAGACCAGAUUUCUAAGCGUGAGAGGAGCAAAGAAACCUUCUCAUUCCAGAACACGACUUCGAGCUGGAACAGAGCAGCUUCACCCAGGAACCCAAAAGCCUCAAACCACCAGUAAGACACCGCCAUCAAUUGGAGACAGG